rnacentral:lncRNA from 1 species
AUAGUUUCUGCUUGGAGUUGCAGUCUAAUGGGGUUCCAGGGAUAUCCAGCACAAUAUAUCCACAUUCUGAUUUUUUGUUGAUUUUUCUCUGAACCAGGUGGAUGUAGCUGUAGUGACCUUGAAGGCGUGCAUAAUCAUUAGGUGUCAAACCUGUGCUGUCCUGAGCACUUUUCCAUGCUUCAAUUGCCACCUGGACAAGGCACACAGUCAGGUCGGUACCGGAAGAGGAGCAUUAUUGUGGAUCUUAACCCAAGAAAAUCAAAAAACAUUGUGACAAAGAUAGAGACGGUCCAAAGAUAUCAAUCAGCAUUAGAGCAGUUCAAGUUCAGGAGUUAAGAUCAUAAAUCAGUAAAAUAUAGAAAGAGGAUGUGGAGGGGCAGGCACAUAGGGAUUAUGAUUAUUAUACUCAAUAGCAUGCUUUCCAAUGACAAACAUAAUGCAUUAUGUUGAAAAUACAAAGAGAGACAUCAGGAGAUACCAAUCCAGGAUCAUCAGUUAAUGCAUCUAAAACAUUCUCGCAGCCUUCCCGACUAGCUACCAUGUGAAGAGGAGUCAACCCAGCAGGCCCGACAACAUUUGGUUUAAACAUAAAUCCAUAGUCGUUUCCAUCCACCGAUAGCUUCUGCUUAGAUCCAGGCUUAUCCAACACUUCAUUAGGAACAUAUCUUAAUAGUAAUUCUACCAUGGGCCUGCAGUUUCUUCGGACAGCUCUGUGGAGCAGACACAUAUCCAACAAAGCAAACUCCAUAGAACUAUGGUCCCCUAAAUCAACUGUUCCGUCAA